AGUGGACGCUGGCGGUAGGCCUAACACAUGCAAGUCGAACGGCAGCACAGUAAGAGCUUGCUCUUACGGGUGGCGAGUGGCGGACGGGUGAGGAAUACAUCGGAAUCUACUUUUUCGUGGGGGAUAACGUAGGGAAACUUACGCUAAUACCGCAUACGACCUACGGGUGAAAGCAGGGGAUCUUCGGACCUUGCGCGAUUGUAUGAGCCGAUGUCGGAUUAGCUAGUUGGCGGGGUAAAGGCCCACCAAGGCGACGAUCCGUAGCUGGUCUGAGAGGAUGAUCAGCCACACUGGAACUGAGACACGGUCCAGACUCCUACGGGAGGCAGCAGUGGGGAAUAUUGGACAAUGGGCGCAAGCCUGAUCCAGCCAUACCGCGUGGGUGAAGAAGGCCUUCGGGUUGUAAAGCCCUUUUGUUGGGAAAGAAAAGCAGCAGGUUAAUACCCCGCUGUUCUGACGGUACCCAAAGAAUAAGCACCGGCUAACUUCGUG
rnacentral:rRNA from 1 species